rnacentral:rRNA from 1 species
AACGAACGCUGGCGGCAUGCCUAACACAUGCAAGUCGAACGAGACCUUCGGGUCUAGUGGCGCACGGGUGCGUAACGCGUGGGAACCUUCCCUUAGGGUCGGAAUAACUCCCCGAAAGGGGUGCUAAUACCGGAUAAUAUCUUCGGACCAAAGAUUUAUCGCCUUUGGAUGGGCCCGCGUUGGAUUAGCUAGUUGGUAGCGUAAAAGCCUACCAAGGCGACGUUGCAUAGCUGGUCUGGGAGGAUGAUCAGCCACACUGGGACUGGGACACGGCCCAGACUCCUACGGGAGGCAGCAGUGGGGAAUAUUGGACGAUGGGCGAAAGCCUGAUCCAGCCAUGCCGCGUGAGUGAUGAAGGCCUUAGGGUUGUAAAGCUCUUUUACACGGGAUGAUAAUGACAGUACCGGGAGAAUAAGCUCCGGCUAACUCCGUG